GGGGGCGUAUUGGUUUCGACGGGAUCAUGGGUCGUGCGAUGGCGAGCCGAGCCCCGGGCUCGUAAAACCGGGAAAGAUAUAAGUGCGAACAACAGCGCACCACAGCUUGCCCUCGCCGCUUAAGCGGUAGAGACAGCUAAAAAGCUCAGGCUACGGCCUGACGUCGAUCCUCUCCUCGACUGCGGGAGCGGAACCCGACGCUAAUACAAGCGGUCUUGCCGGUUGACGGCGUCACGGCGCCAACCGGGACCUAGACCGUGACUGGUCCCCACCGAGCCUGGUCCCAGGGCGCGGCGGGGAUGAGAUCAAUACCGGGACUACGCUCGUAGAGGUCGUGCGGAACCUGGUUCCGAACGCGGGUUCGAUCCCCGCCGCCUCCAAUU
rnacentral:tmRNA from 1 species